rnacentral:rRNA from 1 species
CUACGGGGGGCACCAGUGGGGAAUAUUGGACAAUGGGGGAGACCCUGAUCCAGCAAUGCCGCGUGUGUGAAGAAGGCCUGCGGGUUGUAAAGCACUUUCGGUUGGGAGGACUGCUUCUAGCACUAAUAUUGUUGGAAGUUGACGUUACCUUCAGAAGAAGCACCGGCUAACUCCGUGCCAGCAGCCGCGGUAAUACGGAGGGUGCAAGCGUCAAUCGGAACUACUGGGCGUAAAGCGCGCGUAGGCGGCUAGAUCAGUCGGGUGUGAAAGCCCCGGGCUUAACCUGGGAACUGCAUCCGAUACUGUCUAGCUUGAGUACAGGAGAGGAGAGUGGAAUUCCACAUGUAGCGGUGAAAUGCGUAGAUAUGUGGAGGAACACCAAUGGCGAAGGCAGCUCUCUGGCCUGAUACUGACGCUGAGGUGCGAAAGCGUGGGGAGCAAACAGGAUUAGAUACCCUAGUAGUC